AUGGGAUGAACACUGAAUAGUUUAUGGGCUGAUAGACAAAUUUAAAUUUCUCUUUUAUUGCUAAAAUUUGAACUUUAAAAUGGCAGUAUUGAGUCUUAAACUCUUCAUUAAUGUUUUAGGCAUAU
rfam:Populus trichocarpa scaffold_6_contig_299, whole genome shotgun sequence.